CACGUAGGGUGCAAGCGUUGUCCGGAAUUACUGGGCGUAAAGAGCUCGUAGGCGGUUUGUCGCGUCUGCCGUGAAAGUCCGGGGCGUCAACUCCGGAUCUGGCGGUGGGUACGGGCAGGCUAGGGUUCGGUAGGGGAGACUGGAAUUCCUGGUGUAGCGGUGGAAUGCGCAGAUAUCAGGAGGAACACCGGUGGCGAAGGCGGGUCUCUGGGCAGUAACUGACGCUGAGGGGCGAAAGCGUGGGGAGCGAACAGG
rnacentral:rRNA from 1 species